rnacentral:miRNA from 1 species
CUGGUACAGAGGAUGGAUGAGA